rnacentral:rRNA from 1 species
ACGAAGACUGACGCUCAGGUGCGAAAGCGUGAGGAGCAAACAGGAUUAGAUACCCUGGUAGUACACGCCGUAAACGAUGUCGACUUGGAGGUUGUGCCCUUGAGGCGUGGCUUCCGGAGAUAACGCGUUAAGUCGACCGCCUGGGGAGUACGGCCGCAAGGUUAAAACUCAAAUGAAUUGACGGGGGCCCGCACAAGCGGUGGAGCAUGUGGUUUAAUUCGAUGCAACGCGAAGAACCUUACCUGGUCUUGACAUCCACGGAAGUUUUCAGAGAUGAGAAUGUGCCUUCGGGAACCGUGAGACAGGUGCUGCAUGGCUGUCGUCAGCUCGUGUUGUGAAAUGUUGGGUUAAGUCCCGCAACGAGCGCAACCCUUAUCUUUUGUUGCCAGCGGUCCGGCCGGGAACUCAAAGGAGACUGCCAGUGAUAAACUGGAGGAAGGUGGGGAUGACGUCAAGUCAUCAUGGCCCUUACGACCAGGGCUACACACGUGUUACAAUGGCGCAUACAAAGAGAAGCGACCUCGCGAGAGCAAGCGGACCUCAUAAAGUGCGUCGUAGUCCGGAUUGGAGUCUGCAACUCGCCUCCAUGAAGUCGGAAUCGCUAGUAAUCGUGGAUCAGAAUGCCACGGUGAAUACGUUCCCGGGCCUUGUACACACCGCCCGUCACACCAUGGGAGUGGGUUGCAAAAGAAGUAGGUAGCUUAUCCUUCGGGAGGGCGCUUACCACUUUGUGAUU